rnacentral:snRNA from 15 species
AUACUUACCUACCUCCGGGUUCAGGGCGAUUAAGAAUGCUGUGACCCCGGUUGGAGGCUCACAAUUGCACCUCGCCGAGUUGAAACUCGCGACGGACCCUAAUCGGGUGCGCUCGUGCAGGUAGUUUUUGUAAUUGAAGAGUCCUCACGGUCAUUCCUUU